rnacentral:rRNA from 1 species
CCUACGGGAGGCAGCAGUGGGGAAUAUUGGGCAAUGGAGGCAACUCUGACCCAGCAACGCCGCGUGAAUGAUGAAGGUCUUCGGAUUGUAAAGUUCUGUGAUGGGGGAUGAACACAAUGACGGUACCCCAAUAGCAAGCCACCGCUAACUACGUGCCAGCAGCCGCGGUAAUACGUAGGGGGCAAGCGUUAUCCGGAGUGACUGGGCGUAAAGGGGGCGUAGGUGGUUUAGUAAGUUAUCGGUGUAAUUCCGGGGCUCAACCUCGGCGCUACCGCCAAAACUAUUAGACUAGAGUGCAGGAGGGGUAAGUGGAAUUCCUAGUGUAGCGGUGGAAUGCGUAGAUAUUAGGAGGAACAUCAGGGGCGAAGGCGACUUACUGGACUGUAACUGACACUGAGGUACGAAAGCGUGGGUAGCAAACAGGAUUAGAUACCCGGGUAGUC